GUUACAGACAGUAGUGCCUCGAUUAGUAUGAUUGUUUCCUCACACUUCCAGCGUUGUGGGUUUGAAUCCUGCAACUGCUCCAACUGCGUAGGUUUCCAGUUAAGUGGUUGGAAAUGUAUGGAAAGAUAACAGAGCUGCAUCAGUGAGACCGCCGGAAGCUUUCCAGUGGCGGCUGAACACACCUGUGGAGAUGCGUGGGGAUGCUGAGACAGGCCGCUGCUUAACGGGACUGAGACCAUAAAGGUCAUAUAUCUGAGCAAAGC